rnacentral:antisense_RNA from 1 species
UUCUAAAUCAUAUUUACCAG